UGAAUGGCUUGGUGUCUUCCCCAAGGGCGGCAGGAGAAAAAAUGAAUGCUGAGCAAAGAGGGAAGACCCUUAUGAAACCAUCAGAUCUCGUGGGAACUCACUUACCAUCAUGAGAACAGCAUGAAGGAAACCGCCCCAUGAUUCAAUUAUCUCCAACUUGUCUAGCCCUGGACACAUGGGGGUUAUUUCAAUUCAAGGUAAGAUUUAGCUGGAGACACAGAGCCAAACCCUACCAGUGCAUAAAAUUGGAAUAACAUUUUCUGUCCUUCUGGUCUCUCUUGCUUGUUGCCAUUGUCAAGUAAGGUAAUAGAUGGAAAAGCACUCUGAAAAUCACCAAAUGAAUGCAUUUCAUUGUUACUUAUUAGGAUAAUUUCUUGGGAUGGUUGUUACAAUUGUUAAAUUUUGUGGUUAUUCUGAUUAUUUUUGAAUAUUAAUCAACUUUAAUUCUUCAUUAUAAACUUCUCUAAAAAUGUUAUUUUUCAGAAGCAUUGUAUUGUAGGAUAGAACAGAGAUAUUCUUGCAAGCAAAGGAGACCAGUCCUGCUCAUUUUAGACAAAAUAGCAUUGAGUGUCCACAGGAUAAGUAGAAACCCAGAUGACAGGGUUUAGGGAAUAGACAAAUCCACGGAAGCAGGAAAAAUACACUAAGCAUCUGGAGUAGUUUGCCAUCACUUAUCACUGUUCCUGUGUUGAAUUACCUCUAACUAGGAGUAGGUAAUUUUCAAAAUAUAUAUCUCUUUGUAUAAUACAAACACUGAAUACUCUGAAUGGUCUGUAACUAAAAACCUAGUAGGGCCAUACUGGUGCAUGACUGCUGGAUAUUAAGUUUUGCCUCCAAUUAUUUCUCAUGCUUCUGCAUCUCUAGCUCAAGACCAAAGUUCUAUCCAAUAGCAGUGCAUUAGAUGAGCUUGGGUCACUUGUGGUUAAAUAAUGGGAAAAGGCUUAGCGAGUUUGUAGCCUGCAGCUUCUGUCAGAACAGAAAAGAUGCAAUCUCUGACCAAGACUGCACACAGAAGGUAUUUGGGCGGCUAAUAGUGAAGGGAUUUAAUUCUUAAUAGCUAAAAUAAAAAGUGUUCGCAGAAAAUGUGGUAUUUACUUCCUAUCUUGUUUUUCUCAUGUGUAUUUUGGUAAUUGAAUUACCUGUUAUUUCUCUAAAGUACAGAAUAGUAAUGCUGAGGUGACAGGUAUAUAUGCAAGACAUGGAAUUUUAGAUGUUGAUACUUAUUAGCAUUGAUUUAUUCAAUGUUAUUUCACUGAGCAAACAUUAAAAUUUAAUAAGACAAGGUACAGAAAUACAUGUGACAGAUAAUAUUUAGCAUGUCUGUUUCAGAGAUAGAAACAUCCUUUAAUUUAAGUAAAGAAAUGGAAUUCCACAGAGAGGCCUUGACACAUUUGUAAGUGUAGAUGACAUAUGUAGAAUUUUUGGUAGUAUUUUGCAUAUGUGGGUUUUUGAUAUACAAAGAAAAACUUCUUCCUUCCUAUAUUAAAGUGAUUUCUUUAUCUUGUUUCCAUGGUAAUAAUGAAUUGGUGUUAAUUGUCUGACUUCCCACCUACAAUGCAAUCUGGGCUAAUUCUGCCAGGUUCCAGCUGAGUCUCCAAAGACGAGGACAGGCUCCUAAGUGGCCCAGACUGAGCCUCACUACUCAAGCCAUCAGGGAAGCUGGCAAUUGCAUGGUGACUCAACCUUAAGCCAAGAUCAAAACCUAAAUACAAAACACAAUGCAGAAUGCACAAAUAGCUAUUUCACAAGCUGUAGGUGAGAACUAAGAGUUAACAACAGAAUAGAAGAGGAAUUUAAAAGAAGCAGGAGAGGAACAGAAUGAGUCCUGGAAGUUUACCUGUAAUGUCAACAGUUCACCUUUAGGGGCCAGGAAAUCAAUCAUGUCUAGGCCUGUUGGCUAUUUCUAAAGGUCGGAAUCUGGGAAAAUGGAUCUGUUUGCAUUAUCUUACUAUUUCAGUUUACAGGCCUGCUUUCAGUAAUGAGGGGUCAGGGCCAGAGUCCAAAGAGAGGCUCUCAUAUACAAGAUGUCUAAAUACGUAUUUAAAAGCUAUGUGUAAAACUAUCCAACUGUCAAAUAAAACAUGUUCUAUCAAACUCAUUGAACAAUAUACCUUCAUAAUAAAAAAAUGAAAAAAUAUAUGUAAAGCUAUGGUUUCUUAGGAUAAAAAGUAG
rnacentral:lncRNA from 1 species